UGUAAAUGAGUGAUCAGAAAUACAUACUAUUCUUGUAAAAUGUCUCAAAAUACCUGAUUACACUGUCAGUGUUAACAUCUUUUAAAACAGUAGUCAUGGCCUAUAAAAGAUGCCUAGGUGUUUAUCUAUGUCAUGUGUGGAUAGCACCCAGAUAAAUCUCAGGAAAAAUGUAUAUGAAAUGGUCAGUGUGUUAGCGAUUAUUGAUAUGGAGUGUUCACCUGAAUGGUGAGCAUGAACAGAAGCAUGCUUGUGCCAACAAAGAAGAAAGAAGUUCACCUGGAUGUAGCUCAGCUGGCAAGUCCUGAAUAUGAGUAUCCAUGGAGAGAAUCCAAACAUAGGUGAUGUCAACAGUGAGAAAAGAGGAAGUAAGAUGUGAUUUGAUGACUGACAUAUUCAUCACCUGAUCACUUGAAUGAAGUUCCACUGUUCAAUAUGUUCUAACAGAGCCUCUAAAACCAGACUCCAUCCUCAUUUUUGAAUCAAGACUCACUUCAACACAGUCAUUUGCUCUCUCUUUGAAGUUUUUUCUUUCCUGUGAGCAUCCCCCCUCAAGAUCACAUUCAAAAAAUACUUCUACUUCUC